GAAAACAUAUAAUUGAAGCUGCUAACUUUAAUUGGGGGAAAUAUCUCCGGUUUUCU
rnacentral:tRNA from 1 species